rnacentral:tRNA from 1 species
GGCUUUAUAGUCAAUAAUGAUUUUAGACUGCAAUUCUAAAGGUGUGUAGGAUCACUAAAGCUU